AUGAGGACCUGUAUGAAAGGCGUGACGAGGGCUUAACUGUCUCCUUUUCCUGAUCAGUGAAAUUGAUCUCCCCGUGCAGAAGCGGGGAUAAAACUAUAAGACGAGAAGACCCUGUGGAGCUUAAGACAAAAGAGCAGCCUAUGUCACCAAACUUUUCCCCAAACAGUAUAUAACCUAGUAGCACCUGCCCCAAUGUC
rnacentral:rRNA from 1 species